rnacentral:rRNA from 11 species
AGUUUGAGAACCACUGCUUUAGAGGCACUAGAUCUCAUCUGAUCUUGGAUGGUAAGCAGGGUCAGCACUGAUCUGGACUUGAAUGGGACACCAGCAACAAAUACCAGGUAUUGUAGGCUA